rnacentral:lncRNA from 1 species
GUACCCAGAUUUCAGACAGCCUAUUCCCUGUUAGCCCCCUGACCCGCAGGAGUGGACAGCAGUGAAGAUGGAGUCUCUGCAAAAGAAUAUGUGAAAGAUUAAGUACAAGUGGAUUUGAUACUUCCAUGCCUUUGUACAUGAAAAGGGAUAAUACUAACAGCAGAUUAGAGAAUCAGGAAUGCUCAGAGAUGCUGAGUGAGUCCCAGUCAUCCUCUGCAGCUUUUUCCACAUCAAAAACAGGUACUCAGGAUGCCCUCUGUUGCAUGGUGGAUGGUUGCUCUUCAAACUGUUGUGUGAUUAGGAAUGUCAAUGCAGAGGGCAGAUAUGCUGAAAUCAGGAAAGAUAUCUAAGAAGACAUUUGAGAGCUCCUCUACUUGUGAAAUUUACUGCUUCCUCU